rnacentral:rRNA from 1 species
UACGUAGGGUGCGAGCGUUGUCCGGAAUUACUGGGCGUAAAGAGCUCGUAGGUGGUUUGUCGCGUCGUCUGUGAAAUUCCAGGGCUUAACUUCGGGCGUGCAGGCGAUACGGGCAAUACUUGAGUGCUGUAGGGGAGACUGGAAUUCCUGGUGUAGCGGUGGAAUGCGCAGAUAUCAGGAGGAACACAGAUGGCGAAGGCAGGUCUCUGGGCAGUAACUGACGCUGAGGAGCGAAAGCAUGGGUAGCGAACAGGA